rnacentral:rRNA from 1 species
UAGAGGUUCUUCCGACCCCAUGGACGGAAGGUGGAGUAUCCCGUCUGAAUCUGGCUUCAGGACGGGGGAUUGGAUGGGAAACGCUUGCUUGUACACCAUCUGCCCAAAGGUGAAAAAUUUAUCGCCUGACCAUGAGCUCGCGACUGAGCUGACUUUGGAGGGGUAAGAGCCCACUCCGGUUUGUAUCGGCACUGGUCUGAGAGGAUGAUCUGAAUGCUGGGACUGAGACACGGCCCUACUCCUACUGGAGGACUUAGUGGGGAAUUUUCCGCAAUGGGCUCAAGCCUGACGGAGCAAUACUGCGUGCGGGAGGAAGGCCCUUGGGUGGGUUCCGCUUUUGUUAGGGAAGAAAAUUUGACUGUACCUGUUCAAUAAGCCUCGGCUAACUCCGUGCCAUACUCCGCGGUUUGACGGAGGAGGCAAGCGUUAUCCGGAAUUAUUGGGCGUAAAGCGUCCUCAGGUGGCAUCUCACUUCUGCUGUCGGAUCCCGCGGUUCACCUCUGGAUCGGCACUGGAAACUGAGACGCUCGAUUACGGUAAGGACUGAGGGAAUUCCCAGUGUAGUUGUGACAUGCAUAUAUAUUGCGAAAAAGACCAUUAGCGAACGCGCUAUGCUGGUCCGUACCUGACACUCUUGGACUAUCGCUACGGUACCGAACUGCAUUAGAUACUCCUGCUGUCCUAGCCGUACACGAUGGACACUAUGUGUUGUGCGUAUCCACCCGUGCAGUGUGGGCUCUGACGCGUUACUGUCCAUGCCUG